CACGUAGGGGCCAAGCGUUGUCCGGAUUUAUUGGGCGUAAAGAGCUCGUAGGCGGUUGGGUAAGUCGGGUGUGAAAACUCCAGGCUCAACUUGGAGACGCCACCCGAUACUGCUCUGACUUGAGUUCGGUAGGGGAGUGGGGAAUUCCUGGUGUAGCGGUGAAAUGCGCAGAUAUCAGGAGGAACACCGGUGGCGAAGGCGCCACUCUGGGCCGAAACUGACGCUGAGGGGCGAAAGCGUGGGUAGCAAACAGG
rnacentral:rRNA from 1 species